GUUCUAGUCUUGGGGGGAUUAUUUAUAGCCCUGUGAGUUCACCACUUCAUGGGUAAGAGCUGAUUCUCAUAGUGGAGAACUCAACAAUGACUUUCAUCUUCAUGUUCCUCUGGACACUUGUCCUCUGCUUUCAGAUCUCAUAUGGACAGGUCACUGUGACUCAGACUCCUGCAGUGAAAGCUGUUCAACAGGGAGGAUCAGUCACUCUCAACUGUAAAACCAGCAGUGAUGUGCAUGUGUAUUCAUCAAAUCAUCUAUUAGCCUGGUACCAACAGAAACCUGGAGCAGCUCCUAAACUCCUGAUCUACGGGGCCACAACACUUCAGUCUGGGACUCCAUCCAGAUUCAGUGGCAGUGGAACUCACAGUGACUUCACUCUGACCAUCAGUAAUGUCCAGGCUGAGGAUGCAGGAGUUUACUACUGUCAGAGUGAACACUAUAUCAGCAGUAAAUAUGAGUUCACUUUCGGUGGCGGCACAAGACUUGAUGUUGGAAGUGACACCAGUCCCAAACUCACAGUCCUGCCCCCCCUGCACACCAGCGGGAGUUCAGCCACGUUGAUGUGCCUGGCUAACGGAGGCUUCCCGUCCGACUGGACGCUGAGCUGGAAGGUAGCGGGGAGCAGCAGGAGCGGGGAGACCAGUCGCUUGGGCCCACAGAAGGACGGCCUGUACAGCUGGAGCAACACCCUGACCCUCCCUCUCCAGGAGUGGACCCAGGGGGUCUCAGUGACCUGCGAGGCAAAGCAGGGCUCCCAGACCGUCACUGAGAUUCUGAAGAAAUCAGACUGCUCCUAGGGUCCCCUUUCAAAUGUCUGUCAUUAGCCUGAUUGAAAGUGUGUUUGAUAAAGACUCUUCAUCUCUGAUAGGGACCCUCUUAUUUCUGUUAGUGUGCAGCACUGAGUCACUGUCUUUCCCUCCCUUUCCACUUCUUUUACAGCAUUUGGGAAUCUGAAGUGCUUGUUACUUUGACCCUUUCAUGUGUUUUGACCAUUUAUUAAUAAAGGAGUUUGAUGAAAAUCA